rnacentral:misc_RNA from 1 species
AACCUAGCACACCUGCGGUGUGUACCUGCGGAGGGAUCAUUACCACUACUUUACAUUCCAUAUCAUAAAAAACUUCUUUAUGUGUGGUGAGUGUUGUGUGCUAAACACACACGCGCUCACAUACAUAAAGGGGGAACACCCACUGUGUGAACUUGUUGAAGUACUUAACAUUAGACAUACACCCACUCUGUGUGUGUGCGACUAGUGUUAAAUUCUUAAACACCCUUUUUUUCCAAUCUU